rnacentral:tRNA from 1 species
GGUAGUAUGGCUGAUUUAAAGCGAUAAUCUGUAAAAUUAUAAAUAGGUAUGUCCUUGCUACCA